rnacentral:rRNA from 1 species
ACCCGUGAGGGAUCCUGGAGGUAUCAGAAGUGCGAAUGCUGACAUAAGUAACGAUUAACAGAGUGAAAAACUCUGUCGCCGAAAAUCCAAGGGUUCCUGCGCAAGGUUAAUCCGCGCAGGGUUAGUCGGUCCCUAAGUCGAGGGCGAGAGCCGUAGACGAUGGAAACAAGGUUAAUAUUCCUUGACCCGAUGGUAGUGACGGAUUACGUAAAUUGUUAACUCUUAUUGGAUUGAGUUAGCCGUGAAGUAGUCCCAGGAAAUAGCUCCAUCAUAGGACCGUACCCGAAACCGACACAGGUGGAUUAUUAGAGUAUAAUUAGGCGCUUGAGAGAAUGAUGUUGAAGGAACUCGGCAAAAUGCCUCCGUAACUUCGGAAGAAGGAGGACCCAUUUUUAGGCAACUUUAAGUGGGUGGCACAAGCUAGGGAGAUGCGACUGUUUAUCAAAAACACAGGGCUCUGCUAACACGUAAGUGGAUGUAUAGGGUCUGACGCCUGCCCGGUGCUGGAAGGUUAAUGCGAUCAGUGCAAGCUGAUUUCUGAAGCCCCAGUGAACGGCGGCCGUAACUAUAACGGUCCUAAGGUAGCGAAAUUCCUUGUCGGGUAAGUUCCGACCUGCAUGAAUGGCGUAACGAUUUCUCCGCUGUCUCCAACAUCAACUCAGUGAAAUUGAAUUCUCCGUGAAGAUGCGGAGUUCCCGUGGUUAGACGGAAAGACCCCGUGCACCUUUACUACAACUUUAUAUUGGUGUUAGGAAUGAUAUGUUUAGCAUAGGAGGGAGACUUUGAUGUUUUGGCGUCAGCUGAAGCGGAGUCACCAGUGAAAUACCUCUCUUAUUAUUCUUGACAUCUAACUGCAUGCCGUAAUCCGGCUGCAAGACAUUGUAUGGUGGGUAGUUUGACUGGGGCGGUCGCCUCCCAAAAAGUAACGGAGGCGUGCGAAGGUAGGCUCAGAACGGUCAGAAAUCGUUCGUAGAGUGCAAUGGCAUAAGCCUGCCUGACUGCGAGACUGACAAGUCGAGCAGAGUCGAAAGACGGUCAUAGUGAUCCGGUGGUUCUGAGUGGAAGGGCCAUCGCUCAACGGAUAAAA